rnacentral:rRNA from 1 species
AGAGAGAGACAUGCGCGCAUAUCAAUAAGCGGAGGAAAAGAAACUAACUAGGAUUCCCUCAGUAACGGCGAGUGAAGCGGGAAGAGCUCAAAUUUGAAAUCUUCAAGGUUCUACCUUGACGAAUUGUAGUUUAAAGAAGUGUUUUCUGUUGGAGUUUUGGUAAAAGUUCUUUGGAAUAGGACAUCAUAGAGGGUGAGAAUCCCGUAUUUGACCAUUAUUUCCAGCUUUGUGAUACACUUUCAAAGAGUCGGAUUGUUUGGGAAUGCAGUCCAAAAUGGGUGGUAAAUUUCAUCUAAAGCUAAAUAAUUGGCGAGAGACCGAUAGCGAACAAGUACCGUGAGGGAAAGAUGAAAAGAACUUUGAAAAGAGAGUUAAACAGUACGUGAAAUUGUCAAAAGGGAAGCGUUUGACACCAGUGUUGUUUUCUCGAAAAUCAAUUAAAAAAGGCAGGAUUUUGUGUUGUAUUGACUUUAUCAGCUUUCUGCACUCUUUUCUUGUCUUUUUUAAUGCACUUUUCGUUUAACAAGUCAACAUCAAUUUCUUUUGUUGUAAAAGGGUCAUUGGAAGGUGGCUUUCUUUUCGGAGAGAGUGUUUAUAGCCUUUGGCCUCUGCAAUCGGGGAGAUUGAGGUCUGCAGCGCAGAUCCUUCGGGGUUAGAUACAUUUGUGCUAAGUUAUAGCCUUUCAUAGACAACUUGUUGACUAUGAUUAGUCUUGUAGCUUACUCGCUUAUGCUAUUUUACCUACGCUUAGGAUGUUGAUGUGAUACUGCGAGCA